rnacentral:rRNA from 1 species
UACAGAGGUCUCAAGCGUUGUUCGGAUUCAUUGGGCGUAAAGGGUGCGUAGGCGGCGCGGUAAGUCGGGUGUGAAAACCCAGGGCUUAACCCUGGGCUUGCAGUGGAUACGGGCAGACUAGAGGCAGGUAGGGGAGAAUGGAAUUCCCGGUGUAGCGGUGAAAUGCGCAGAUAUCGGGAGGAACACCGGUGGCGAAGGCGGUUCUCUGGGCCUGACCUGACGCUGAGGAGCGAAAGCGUGGGGAGCGAACAGG